GGAGGAAGCAGUGGGGAAUAUUGCACAAUGGGCGCAAGCCUGAUGCAGCCAUGCCGCGUGUAUGAAGAAGGCCUUCGGGUUGUAAAGUACUUUCAGCGAGGAGGAAGGCAUUAAGGUUAAUAACCUUAGUGAUUGACGUUACUCGCAGAAGAAGCACCGGCUAACUCCGUGCCAGCAGCCGCGGUAAUACGGAGGGUGCAAGCGUUAAUCGGAAUUACUGGGCGUAAAGCGCACGCAGGCGGUCUGUCAAGUCGG
rnacentral:rRNA from 1 species